rnacentral:lncRNA from 1 species
GCUGAUCGAUGGGGAGGGCGCGUAGGCAGAGCACAACAACGUGCAGCCACACUGUUUUCGAUAUGACGGUGCGUCACGUCUGCAGUUUAAAAGAGUACGCAAUACGACCUCGCUGGCGCGCUCAAAAGACAUGCGCAGUACCGCAGUACUAGGAUGUGAUGCGCACCGUUUGGUCCGCGUGACGAGGGCGUGUGCCAAAGAGUCCAUCCAUAUGCAGGCAUAUGUACUUUUUGGGCGUCCAGUGUGCAAUGGCCGUGACAUCAUAAGCCAGCGUUUGGUUUUCCGCGUGAGAGUGACUUCUUUUCGGA